AGUGAACGCUGGCGGUAGGCCUAACACAUGCAAGUCGAACGGCAGCACAGUAAGAGCUUGCUCUUACGGGUGGCGAGUGGCGGACGGGUGAUGAAUACAUCGGAAUCUACUUUUUCGUGGGGGAUAACGUAGGGACACUUACGCUAAUACCGCAUACGACCUACGUGUGAAAGCAGGGGAUCUUCGGACCUUGCGCGAUUGAAUGAGCCGAUGUCGGAUUAGCUAGUUGGCGGGGUAAAGGCCCACCAAGGCGACGAUCCGUAGCUGGUCUGAGAGGAUGAUCAGCCACACUGGAACUGAGACACGGUCCAGACUCCUACGGGAGGCAGCAGUGGGGAAUAUUGGACAAUGGGCGAAAGCCUGAUCCAGCCAUACCGCGUGGGUGAAGAAGGCCUUCGGGUUGUAAAGCACUUUUGUUGGGAAAGAAAAGCAGCAGGUUAAUACCCCGCUGUUCUGACGGUACCAAAAGAAUAAGCACCGGCUAACUUCGUG
rnacentral:rRNA from 1 species